rnacentral:rRNA from 1 species
UACGUAGGGUGCAAGCGUUGUUCGGAAUUAUUGGGCGUAAAGAGCGUGUAGGCGGCCGUACAGGUCAGCUGUGAAAACUCGAGGCUCAACCUCGAGACGUCGGUUGAAACCGUACGGCUAGAGUCCGGAAGAGGAGAGUGGAAUUCCCGGUGUAGCGGUGAAAUGCGCAGAUAUCGGGAAGAACACCCGUGGCGAAGGCGGCUCUCUGGGACGGUACUGACGCUGAGACGCGAAAGCGUGGGGAGCGAACAGG